GGGGUUGUAGCUCAGUGGUAGAGCACUUACCUAGCAUGUGUGAGGCACUGGGUUUGGUUCUCAGCACCACA
rnacentral:tRNA from 1 species